rnacentral:lncRNA from 1 species
GGCACCACCUUAUUAAUAUUUGGAUGCGCUUGUAUAAGAUUAAGAAACAGAAGGUGUUUAAAAGUUAGAAAAUACACUCAAAACCAGUGGGUCCAAAUCUAAAUUUAUUUAACCCUCAAGACCCUCAAACUUUGACACCCUAAAUCUCUAUCCAGCUGGUCAUUUUUUUCUUUAGGGUAUCUACAUACAAGAGUGAAGUCAUACAUUUUAGAUAUGCAAAUUUAACUCUCUCUUUGAAGGAAAGAAGGGAGAGAAGGAGGAAUUUUAAUAGAAGUAGGGCUUCUGUUUCAGUGACCAUAAUAAGCAUGCAGGGGAUGAUAUGAAUCUGCUGUUCCUGUUCCCUCGUUUUUCCCAGCUCUGUGUUUUGUGAUGAUAGUAUCAUCACACUAGAGCAUUUUAAGGGAACCAGCCAAUUCUCAAGUACAGAAAGGUACAUAAGUAGAGCUUAUACACCAUGGAAUGCUAAAAGCCAUGCAUGCAGGAACUAAUUUUUGUUAUACCUGAUGACAUGGAUGACCAUCACAGACAUAAUGGUGGGCCAUAAGUCAGACAAAGAAUAUACAGUGUGUGCUUCCACUGGUGUAAAGUUUAAAAUCAGGAAAAAUUAAUCUGGUGGUAAAUAUUAGAAUAGUGGUUACCUUUAAAGGAAGGUUAACUAGGAAAAGGCAUUAAGGAAUCCAUUUUGUGAGCUGCAAAUGCCCUACAUCUUGAUCUGGGUCGUGAUUAUGGGGUAUAAUAUAUUUUUAGAAAAUCAUGGAGUUUUAUCUUUGUGCUCUUGAUUUAAGUUACACCUCAAUAAAAAGGUGGGAAAACAAUGCCUAUAUCCAUAAAUUUUGAUUUAUUAGUCUGGAGUGGGACCCCAAGCAGAGAUAAUUUUUUAAAUGUCUUCCAGAUAAUUCUAUAUGCAGCCAAGGUC